CGUUGCAACAACCCCGUGGUUUGGGCGCAGUGGGGCAAGGUAUUUGUCCGGUGCGCAGUGAAGCCACUGCAACA
rnacentral:sRNA from 1 species